rnacentral:lncRNA from 1 species
CGCCAAUAGGUGGAUCAUUUGGGAUUCUCUUGGUUAAUAGGAUGUUUGAAGGUCCAUUGGAAUCCCAAAUCGAACCACACGGGUGAGAUUAUCAAUAUUAGCAGUGUUCGAGCUGCAAAAUAUUAGUAUCAAAAACUUGCUUGGUCAACUUGCUCAUGUUGCAGUUAAAAUUAGUAAUUUUCAAUUUGUAAGAGACAAUGCUGUCAAUCUUAAACAAAAUCGAAAUCAUUGUUUAAUUAUAUUUUAUUAGUAUUAAGAAAGUUGCUUGUGUU